rnacentral:misc_RNA from 1 species
UCCGCCUUCCGACGGCAGUUUCGCCGGAGAAAUUAACCGGCAAUAGGGGUUGCGCUCGUUGAAGGACUGAACCUAACACCUCACGGCACGAGCUGACGACAGCCAUGCAGCACCUGUGACGCUGCCCCGAAGGGAACGCUGUUUCCAGCGCGGUCAACGUCAUGUCAAACCCUGGUAAGGUUCUUCGCGUUGCAUCGAAUUAAACCACACGCUCCGCUGCUUGUGCGGGUCCCCGUCAAUUCCUUUGAGUUUUAACCUUGCGGUCGUACUCCCCAGGCGGACCACUUAUCGCGUUAGCUACUCCACGGAAGGGGUCGAGCCCCCCACGGAUAGUGGUCAUCGUUUACGGCUAGGACUAC